UUUACAUUCUUAGCACGUUCCACCGUGCGCGUGUGUCAGCGAGAGAGGGAGGCAGUCAAAAUCAAGCCGAUACUCCUUGUAGAAGUGUUUGCUGCGGUUUUCCCAGCAUGCACAAAUGCUCCCUCACUCACACAAACACUCGUCUCUCGUGGUGCUUAGUCAUGACAGAAGGAGGCAGAGGGAUCGCCAUGGAAACAGUACUUUGAGUCAACCAGUCAGAAAGCAGCUGUGCAUUCUUGUAGCAGCGGGGCAAGCCUGAAAAUGGACUUCCAAUGUUCCCUCAAGCAAGGCAGCGGGCUCCUGACUACAAGGCAGCCGAUCAUAUGGGAUCUUGAAGUGCACAGAUGUGUCAUGAGCGGGAUCAGUCCGGUCGGAGGAGGAGAAGCUGCAUGCUACUAGGCCUGUGGAACUCAUUACAAACUCAGCUGGCAAGCGAACGACAAAAGAAUCAAACUCUGGUCAUAAAAUGAUGCCGAGCGAGGAGGACAGGCUAAAAGAAACCAUUAUAAAGGAGGAAGAGGAGCCGAGGAUGGAUGUACUGAGUCAGCUGUCCUUUUACAGUGUGUGUGCAGUUG